CGGGCAAUGGGCGCAAGCCCUGAUCCAGCAAUGCCGGGUGUGGGAAGAAGGCCUUCGGGUAGUAAAGCACUUUUAUCAGGAGCGAAAUCUGCAUGCUUAAUACGUGUGCAGUCUGACGGUACCUGAAGAAUAAGCACCGUCUAACUUCGUGCCAGCAGCCGCGGUAAUACGAAGGGUGCAAGCGUUAAUCGGAAUUACUGAGCGUAAAGGGUGCGUAGGCGGUUCGUUAAGUCCGUCGUGAAAUCCCCGGGCUCAACCUGCGAAUGGCGAUGGAUACUGGCGAGCUAGAGUGUGUCAGAGGAUGGUGGAAUUCCCGGUGUAGCGGUGAAAUGCGUAGAGAUCGGGAGGAACAUCAGUGGCGAAGGCGCCCAUCUGGGACAACACUGACGCUGAAGCACGAAAGCGUGUGGAGCAAACAGGAUUAGAUACCCUGGUAGUCCACGCCCUAAACGAUGCGAACUGGAUGUUGGUCUCAACUCGGAGAUCAGUGUCGAAGCUAACGCGUUAAGUUCGCCGCCUGGGGAGUACGGUCGCAAGACUGAAACUCAAAGGAAUUGACGGGGGCCCGCACAAGCGGUGGAGUAUGUGGUUUAAUUCGAUGCAACGCGAAGAACCUUACCUGGCCUUGACAUGUCCGGAAUCCUGCAGAGAUGCGGGAGUGCCUUCGGGAAUCGGAACACAGGUGCUGCAUGGCUGUCGUCAGCUCGUGUCGUGAGAUGUUGGGUUAAGUCCCGCAACGAGCGCAACCCUUGUCCUUAGUUGCCAGCGAGUAAUGUCGGGAACUCUAAGGAGACUGCCGGUGACAAACCGGAGGAAGGUGGGGAUGACGUCAAGUCCUCAUGGCCCUUACGGCCAGGGCUACACACGUACUACAAUGGUCGGUACAGAGGGUUGCAAUACCGCGAGGUGGAGCCAAUCCCAGAAAGCCGAUCCCAGUCCGGAUUGGAGUCUGCAACUCGACUCCAUGAAGUCGGAAUCGCUAGUAAUCGCGGAUCAGCUAUGCCGCGGUGAAUACGUUCCCGGGCCUUGUACACACCGCCCGUCACACCAUGGGAGUGGGUUGCUCCAGAAGGCGUUAGUCUAACCGCAAGGGGACGACGCCCACGGAGGUU
rnacentral:rRNA from 1 species